UGGGUCGCAGGUAGCUGACGCAGC
rnacentral:siRNA from 1 species